rnacentral:lncRNA from 1 species
AUUUGACGUUGUUAGGGGUGGAAAAAUAUAUAAGUAAAAUAUAAGUAAAAGGGUGAGUAUUUGCCUUGUGCACUUUAUUUUUUAUUCGACACUAGGUUAUUAUUUAAAAACUUUAGAAUACAAACUAUUCAAAGACAAAAUGAUGUAACUAAAUACUUCUUAAAUAUACUCUGAACAUGUAUGUGUAUUUUUUACCAGAUUAGUUCGUGUUUUUUUUUAAUGGAAAAAAAUAGAUAAAAUAUGUGCAUAUAUCUUGACAAAAAAGCUUGAUAAAUUAUGUUUAUUGCAAAAACAAUACACAAUCUACAUAACAUAGUCAACUAAUAUUUGGAUAAAAGAUAGUAUUAACCUCUGAAUCUAUAGUUGAUUUUUCAAGUCGAAGUGGAAAUUUCCAAGUAUACAUUUAUAUCUUAUAUCUCAUAUAGGCUCAUUUAUUUACUAACUAAAAGUUUAAACAAUGUUUUCAUCAUUAUGUUAUUGUUCUAUUAUAAUGUUUGCAUAGUUUGAGUGGCAAAUUUAUUUUAUAUAUCUACCUGUGUGACGUUUACAUUCUGACGUCAAACACUCGAUUCGUCACCAGAGUUGAUGUUAUUCUAGCCAUUCGGUCACAGGACUGAUAAUAUUUAUAUCCCUUAUGGGUUGAUUUAACAUACAUUGAUUAAAUACAAAAAAAGUAAGCAAUGGACGUGGUUGUUUAAUUUGAUAUACCUGUAUGCUUUUUGUGCCUCUUUGUUAAAUAUUUGUUUGUUUUUCUUCUGAUUGAGAUUGUGACACGGUGAUGACUGCUGUGCCCUGUUUUGACAAUAUUGCCAAUUAUGUCUGUUUUGUUCGCGCAACGUUGUCGAUGUGAUGGGAUUUGAUACGACUGUCAUACAAGUGAGUGAUUUAGCGCUAUAAAACGAGUUUCAAUCAACCAUUUUCUACAUAUUAAGUAGAUGCCUGUUCCAAGUCAGGAAUAUGAUAGUUUUCAUUACUCAUAUUUCUUAUGAUACAAUUAAUAAAUAAUGAUUUGUACGUAAAUUAAUGUAACAAUUUUACUUCAUAAUAUUUAUUUCUAGAUAUGAUGAAUAAUACAAUUUGCGCUGUGCUGCUUGCUGUUCUGAUGUUAACCCGUCCUACUAGUGUAUGAGGUAAGCAUAAGAAAAUACAGAAAUAAAAGCAAUUUUAAAAGUUAUGGAUGUUAUGCAGUAGUCUUCAAUUCCAAUGAUCAUGCAUUGCAGUUUUAAAACGUUCAAGUACUAUGCGGAUAGUAUCGUAUAGAAAGAAACAAUAAAUACAACUUGUAAAUGUCAAAUUUGCCCGACCGAGGCUGCACCUUCGUGUUGUACUUACUUCCGAAUAGACCAAGGGAGGAGACAUAAAAUAUACGAUACAGGUAAAGUCAUUGUCAGAACACUGAUUAACGACGUAAUAUAACUCUGACAUCAAAUAAGUACUGUUUAUCAACUUAUAUGCAUGUUGAUAUCGUUAAAUAUCAGCUGCGAGUCGCACUAUGAAGAUUGUUGUCGAGUGAGCGCAGCAAAAAACAGAUUUCAUAUUGUGUCGACCAGCUGAUAUUUUACAAUAUCAAUAUGCAUAAAUUUCAAUCAACGUAAGUCCAAACAUUAUGACAUCGAUGAUAUGUUCGGAUCAAAUUUAUUUAGGAUGGAUCAACCUCUUCUACGUUUAAAAGCCGUGAUAUGCAAUUCUUUUAAGAGCUGAACAGGGUGAUAUAGUGACAGUGAAACGACCGAUAAAUGAAAAUAUUGCUCUUUAAUGUUAGUCCGAAACCGUUUUUAUGUAUAUAAAUACAAAAAGAGUAACUUGAAGAAUUUAUAAAACCAUGAAUACCUGCGUAGUAAGAGACCUAAACGGACAAAAUAAAAUUAAUACAAAUGUAUCUUAUGUUAUACCCUGCAGCACUACUCAAGUGUGUGGUUGGUUCGUACCGCUUUUCAAUUUAACUUCAGAAGCAACGUCUCUUUCUCCUUUCCCUUUUUUUGACAAUCCAACUUGAGUUUACAUGAAUAUUUGAGUACAUGUUAACAUAUAGAGCUCUAAGAUCUAAACAGGACAUUAAUAUAGUAGACUCGCCAGAUAAUAACUUAGAUAAAAUAAAAAAUUGAGAAUUGUAAAUAAUAAAAAUACCACCAGAUUUUAGUUUUAAUAGGCAGAAAAAACCCACACAUUGAUGUACAACUACUUUUUUACUGGAUAAGCUUUAUAUUUCUUUAAGUAAAAUUGAUCAUGUCAUUUGUUUAAAGGUGUAACACUAUGUAGCGCCUCAUGUCUUACCGCUGUUGGAGGAACUGCGUUAUUAGGAACAUCAGCCAUACUACCAGCAAUAGGUUUCACAUCUUCUGGAAUAACAGCAGCAUGGAUGGCUUCUUUUGGAGGUUCCGUACCCGCAGGUGGUUGUUUUGCUCUUUUUCAAUCGGCAGGUAUGACUGGAGCAACUACUAAAAUGGUGGGUGCAGUUACUGGUUCAGCAGCAACUAUAUGUGCAUUCAUUUGCAAAUGUUAACUACAGAAACUUAUACCACUGUCUUACCUUUUUUUUAUCAAACAAUUUUACACAAAU